UACGUAGGGUCCGAGCGUUGUCCGGAAUUACUGGGCGUAAAGAGCUCGUAGGUGGUUUGUCGCGUUGUUCGUGAAAACUCACAACUCAACUGUGGGCGUGCGGGCGAUACGGGCAGACUGGAGUACUGCAGGGGAGACUGGAAUUCCUGGUGUAGCGGUGGAAUGCGCAGAUAUCAGGAGGAACACCGGUGGCGAAGGCGGGUCUCUGGGCAGUAACUGACGCUGAGGAGCGAAAGCAUGGGGAGCGAACAGG
rnacentral:rRNA from 1 species